AAUGGGCGAAAGCCUGAUCCAGCCAUGCCGCGUGUCUGAAGAAGGCCUUCGGGUUGUAAAGGACUUUUGUCAGGGAGGAAAUCCCUAGCGUUAAUACCGCUGGGGGAUGACAGUACCUGAAGAAUAAGCACCGGCUAACUACGUGCCAGCAGCCGCGGUAAUACGUAGGGUGCGAGCGUUAAUCGGAAUUACUGGGCGUAAAGCGUGCGCAGGCGGUUUGAUAAGCCAGAUGUGAAAUCCCCGAGCUCAACUUGGGAACUGCGUUUGGAACUGUCAGACUAGAGUGCGUCAGAGGGGGGUGGAAUUCCGCGUGUAGCAGUGAAAUGCGUAGAGAUGCGGAGGAACACCGAUGGCGAAGGCAGCCCCCUGGGAUGACACUGACGCUCAUGCACGAAAGCGUGGGGAGCAAA
rnacentral:rRNA from 1 species